GUCAACCAGUGCCUGAAGCCACGCACGCCGAGUGACACGGUAGAACAUGCCUGGGUGUGGGCACCCCGGAUGUGCCAGGCCGCAUGUGGCACGGAGAACAUAGCUGUGAGACGGAAACAACGCAAGCUUCAGGAGCCAUGGACCGUGCUUUCCACGGGAGGUCACUUAUCCACUCAUCCCGUGUUUAUUGAGCUUCCACCGAGCACCAGAUACGGAAUGAAGCAUCAGCACAGGUUGUCAAGGAGCAGGAGCCCUGCCUUAGCUGGGGGUGUGGACAAGUCAACAUCUGUGGUGUGAUGGCUGUAAGCACUGGGUCUAAGCAGGUAAGAGAGACCACAGGGGACGUCCUGGGCAGGUGACAUCCAAAUUGAUCCUGGAAGGGUGAGGCAGGAUAGGCUGGACUGAGUGGUGUCAGGGUAGGGAGAGGGGGAAAUGAGUCUGGACAGGUGAGCAGGCUCGUACCACCAAAGGUCUGUGUCCCACAAUACGGAGUUGAGUCUUUAACUUAGGAGUAACACAGAGGCACUGCAGCAGGUUAAGCAGCGGAGUGGCAGGGUCAGCUCUGUGUCUGAGGAGAUCACCGUGGCUGCUGUGUAGAGAACUAAGGACUAGGACGUAGGGGAGCUUGGUCAAACUAGAAGACCGGCCCGCAGCGCAGACAGCGCCGCGCUGGCGGUAGGGAUCUGAGGCAUGAUUACAGGGAACCCUCUGUAAGACUGAGCAACGACUUGGAAGAAAAGUGAAGGAUCAAGAAUGACGCCUAGGUUUCUGGUGGGGGCUGCCAGAUGGAGGCAUGUCACUAACCACGGUGGUGACCACCGGAGAGAGGCAGGCUGCGGCUGGGGGGAGGCACGAAAUGGGUGGGAGGCGACAUGGGGCAGGUGAGGCUGAGGGGAGUGACUAUUAAAGGCGGGCAUGCCGGAUCUUACUCACAGAUGACUGUGAAAGCACCAGUACAAGAAAAGGUUAAGGACAAAGAAAGAAAGGGGCCAAGAGCCAAUGGUGGGAAGGCUCUGGAAGAAACCAAAGGGCAUACGAGUCAGAGGAUGGUAGGAGGAUGAGCCCUAGUGAGGCCACCUUGGUUCUGGGGAUGAAAGGAAGGGUGCAGCGGCAGGUGUGCAGGUGCCUCGGGUCUUCCUCACCCCGAGGCCCGGAGUCCUGCCCUGCCCUCUCACAUCUCCUGGCUUCUCGUGUUUUCCUUGAUCUUCCUUAAGUUCUUUAGCCAGUUGGUGAAUUAGCUCUUCCGCGUAGAGGGACUGCUUUGAACAGAGAGUUGGCCUGGAUGAGUGAGUCGGAGCUUCAGGCUUCCCAUCCCCACUGGAGACAGAGCGCCUGGAAGGGCAGCUGCGAGGCUCAGCUGCGAGGGUGUGUGAGCCGCUCAGAGGGGCGCUCAGCACCCAGCACUGCGGGUGAUGGGAGUCCUCUUUCUUGGAUGUGUGCUGACUGACCCCGAGUGCACCUGUGUGCUCCAGGGGAGCUUCCAGAAGCAGCCUUUCUGUCUCAUGCCCUUUCAAAGCUGGAACCCUUUUUUUUUUUUUUUUUUAAGCAGUCCACUAAAUUCCUAAGCACAAUUUUCUGUUCAUUGGCAAAAUCAAAGAUAGUGAAGAAGCUGUGCAGUCUCAUGGAGGGAUUCCACAAGCUGCCCAGCACUUCAAAAAAAAAAUCCUGGUUCUGUCAAUAACUGGAAACUCUGGGGUUUAGGGCCCUAGAACUGGUAUUUUUAAUAUUGGUCUGAUGAAAAGGGCAGAGUCUGCAGUAAGUAGAAUUUAAUUUUAGUCCAGGCUCUCCAUUAGGUAGCUGACCUGGCCCCGUGUCUGAGCGUAUGAAAUGAGGGGAAUAAACCCUGUUCAUGGAGUUACUAUGAACCAAGUGGGAGAGCAGAGGGCAAAGCACCCUGGAGGGGGCCUGUGCUGCUCGGGGAGGCCGGCAAGUCCCCUGCGCCUGAACUCGGGUGGGUUUGGGGACAGCCCUCCGCUGCCCCCGGCAGGCGCUUGGCCAGGGUCCCCUACCAGAAGGCCUACAGGCCACUCAUGAGAAUUUUAGAGGAUUCCUUUUUUAUUUAUUUAUUUAUGUAUUUAUUUAUUUUUAAAUUUAUGAUAGUCACACAGAGAGAGAGAGAGAGAGAGAGGCAGAGACACAGG
rnacentral:lncRNA from 1 species